ACUGACAAAACUGCGAACGGCUCAUUAAAACAGUUAUCAUUGAUUUGAAGGCCAAAGGUUAAACGGAUAACCGUGGGAAACCAAGGCUAAUACGUGCUUAAGGCUCUUCGAGCCUGUGUUUAUUAGGGGAAGAAUCGACACUAACGUGGUUGAUUGUAACUGUUCGAAUCGCAUGCUCAGCGGCGAUGGUUCAUUCAAGUUUCUGACCUAUCAGCUCUCGACGGUCGGGUAUUGGCCCACCGUGGCUUUGACGGGUAACGGGGAAUUAGGGUUCUAUUCCGGAGAGGGAGCCCGAGAAACGGCUACCACGUCUAAGGAUGGCAGCAGGCGCGUAAAUUACCCAGUCCCGACACGGGGAGGUAGUGACAAGAAAUAGCGACGCGAGACCAUGUCUUGUGAUUUGCAAUGAGUAGAAUUUAAAAGGUUCUACGAGUAGCAAUUGGAGGGCAAGUCUGGUGCCAGCAGCCGCGGUAAUUCCAGCUCCAAUAGCGUAUAUUAAAGUUGUUGCAGUUAAAACGCUCGUAGU
rnacentral:rRNA from 1 species